rnacentral:rRNA from 1 species
GAUGAACGCUGGCGGCGUGCCUAAUACAUGCAAGUCGAGCGAACAGACGAGGAGCUUGCUCCUCUGACGUUAGCGGCGGACGGGUGAGUAACACGUGGAUAACCUACCUAUAAGACUGGGAUAACUUCGGGAAACCGGAGCUAGUACCGGAUAAUAUAUUGAACCGCAUGGUUCAAUAGUGAAAGACGGUUUUGCUGUCACUUAUAGAUGGAUCCGCGCCGCAUUAGCUAGUUGGUAAGGUAACGGCUUACCAAGGCAACGAUGUGUAGCCGACCUGAGAGGGUGAUCGGCCACACUGGAACUGAGACACGGUCCAGACUCCUACGGGAGGCAGCAGUAGGGAAUCUUCCGCAAUGGGCGAAAGCCUGACGGAGCAACGCCGCGUGAGUGAUGAAGGUCUUCGGAUCGUAAAACUCUGUUAUUAGGGAAGAACAAAUGUGUAAGUAACUAUGCACGUCUUGACGGUACCUAAUCAGAAAGCCACGGCUAACUACGUG